AUUGAACGCUGGCGGCAGGCCUAACACAUGCAAGUCGAGCGGAUGAAGGGAGCUUGCUCCUGGAUUCAGCGGCGGACGGGUGAGUAAUGCCUAGGAAUCUGCCUGGUAGUGGGGGAUAACGUCCGGAAACGGGCGCUAAUACCGCAUACGUCCUGAGGUAGAAAGUGGGGGAUCUUCGGACCUCACGCUAUCAGCUGAGCCUAGGUCGGAUUAGCUAGUUGGUGUGGUAAAGGCCUACCAAGGCGACGAUCCGUAACUGGUCUGAGAGGAUGAUCAGUCACACUGGAACUGAGACACGGUCCAGACUCCUACGGGAGGCAGCAGUGGGGAAUAUUGGGCAAUGGGCGAAAGCCUGAUGCAGCCAUGCCGCGUGUGUGAAGAAGGUCUUCGGAUUGUAAAGCACUUUAAGUUGGGAGGAAGGGCAGUAAGUUAAUACCUUGCUGUUUUGACGUUACCAACAGAAUAAGCACCGGCUAACUUCGUG
rnacentral:rRNA from 1 species